rnacentral:rRNA from 1 species
AACGAACGCUGGCGGCGCGCCUAACACAUGCAAGUCGAACGAGAAGCUGUAGCAAUACAGUUGUACAGUGGCGAACGGGUGAGGAAUACAUGGGUGACCUACCCUCGAGUGGGGAAUAACCAGCCGAAAGGUUGGCUAAUACCGCGUACGUUUCCCAGUCUGCGGAUUGGGAAGGAAAGCGAUGCCGUGGGUAUCGCGCUCAAGGUUGGGCUCAUGUCCUAUCAGCUUGUUGGUGAGGUAACGGCUCACCAAGGCAACGACGGGUAGCUGGUCUGAGAGGACGAUCAGCCACACUGGCACUGCGACACGGGCCAGACUCCUACGGGAGGCAGCAGUGAGGAAUAUUGCGCAAUGGGCGAAAGCCUGACGCAGCGACGCCGCGU